AGGACGAACGCUGGCGGCGUGCUUAACACAUGCAAGUCGAGCGACGCUCCUCCUUCGGGAGGAUGACGGAGCGGCGAACGGGUGAGUAACACGUGGGCAACCUGCCCCUAGCUCUGGGAUAAGCCCGGGAAACCGGGUCUAAUACCGGAUAUGAAGUCUGAAGGCAUCUUCUGACUUGGAAAGUUUUUCGGCUAGGGAUGGGCCCGCGGCCUAUCAGCUUGUUGGUGAGGUAACGGCCCACCAAGGCGACGACGGGUA
rnacentral:rRNA from 1 species